GGGCCCGGCACAAGCGGUAAAAAAAGGAGCAUGUGGUUUAAUUCGAAGCAACGCGAAGAACCUUACCAGGUCUUGACAUACUCGUGCUAUUCCUAGAGAUAGGAAGUUCCUUUCGGGACACGGGAUACAGGUGGUGCAUGGGUUGUCGUCAGCUCGUGUCGUGAGAUGUUGGGGUUAAGUCCCCGCAACGAGCGCAACCCCUAUUGUUAGUUGCCAUCAUUAAGUUGGGGCACUCUAACGAGACUGCCGGUGAUAAACCCGGAGGAAGGUGGGGG
rnacentral:rRNA from 1 species